UACGAAGGGGGCGAGCGUUGUUCGGAAUUACUGGGCGUAAAGGGCGCGUAGGCGGCCGAGCAAGUUAGAUGUGAAAGUCCUGGGCUUAACCUGGGGACUGCAUUUGAUACUGCUUGGCUUUGAAUUCGGGAGAGGAUAGCGGAAUUCCCAGUGUAGAGGUGAAAUUCGUAGAUAUUGGGAAGAACACCGGUGGCGAAGGCGGCUAUCUGGACCGACAUUGACGCUGAGGCGCGAAAACGUGGGGAGCAAACAGG
rnacentral:rRNA from 1 species